AGAAACUGCCAAAAAAUAGUGACAACCACCACCCACUGAACAAAUUUAACUUGAAGAGGACCACAAUUUACACUAACCUUCUUAGCCGGUGACUCAUUCAAUGAUCUUGAUAUGUGUAUAUAUCAACCUCUUCUACUUUCUUCUCUAUUCAUAUUCCAAUUUAGAGAUACACUUUUUAGUUUUUAUGUUUUUCUCUCUUUUCUUUCCUUCAACUUCUUCUCCAUUUCUCCUUUAUAUGUCACAUCCUUUGGAAAAAUCUGGUCUUAUUAUUUUUAUUAUUUUUUUUCAUUUUAAUUUAUAUAUUAUAUACAUUCUAUUUAGACAUUAUUUCUUGGUUCAAUAUUCUCCUCAGCUAGAUCAUUUUUUUUAUUCUUGUUUACAUGAUUUUAAUCAUGUGUGGCUAAUUUUUGGAGAAAGAGGAAUGAGUAUGCGCAGAUGGCAAGAAACAAUGAUGAAGAAUGCAUGGAAUGAAGUUGUAUGUGAUGAAUGAUACAUUUCAUGUCAUGUUGACAGAAGAGAGAGAGCACAACCCGAGAAUGGUUGAAAGAGAAUCUUUAUCUUUGUUGGGAGUGUGCUCUCCCUUCUUCUGUCAUCAUCACAUCCAUCAACUUAUUUUCCUCCACCUUUUGUCUAUAUGCGCGCGAGACAUGCACCAUUCAUAUACUACCAAUCAAGGUAAUGUGACUCUUUUUCUAUACUUCAUAUUGAUUGCUUUCUUCUAUCAAUUUUUUUUCCAUUUUCAUGCUAUCAUCUUUCAAUUUUUGAUAUAUUUGUGUUGAUUGCUUGUAGGGACGGGUUUUUUCAAUCAUAUCUUUUUUUUUUGGAAUUUUUUUCUUCCAAAGCUACUUAUUUUGAACCUAAUAUAUUAAAAUAUUUUAUUAUUUUGAGCUUUUAGAAGGUCAUACGGUGGAGAUGCAAUCAUAUUAAUUUUAAAGUAAAUUACUUAAAAAAAAAAACUUCUAAAAAGAUUAUAUAAUUGAAAAAAAAAAAUCUUAUUGGACCCUUAUAUUAAGACUCCUAAAUAGUGAAUUUUAUUUUAAAUACAUCGCGACAUCAUAGUGAAUAAAGUUCUACUUAGCUUCUAUGAUGAGUUAUAGAGAGUUCAGAUAAUCAUUUACUAGCAAGUUGGACAAAAGUCUUUAGUACAUUUGACAGCCAUAUUGUAAGGAGUCACCAACGGAUCUUGUUAGGAGUCCAUAUGUGCCAAUGCAUCUCUCAAAUUAAAAGAAUUUUGCUUUGCAAAUAAUAUGUUUAGGCCAUCAUGUAUAAUGGUGGAUGUUUCACCUAGUUAACACCAAAUUAACUAGGCACCUCUUUUAUUGAGGAAUUUUUUUGGGUGACUAUUGAAAUAUCUUCUUUCUUUAUUUUUCGUGGGUCCGACCAACAGAAUCAAUUCUAUUAAAAGGAAAUGAGAAUUGUUGUAACGUAGUCAUAUAAAAUUAUUAAUGAAAUUUAUUUAAGAAUUUUUGUUGAUGUUGUGCUGGAUUGAA